rnacentral:rRNA from 1 species
AGAGUUUGAUCCUGGCUCAGAGCGAACGCUGGCGGCGUGCUUAACACAUGCAAGUCGAGUGCGCGGCUGUAGCAAUACAGCUGGCGCACGGCGCACGGGUGCGUAACACGUGGGCAAUCUGCCCUCCGAUGGGGAAUAACCCGCCGAAAGGCGGGCUAAUUCCGCAUAACAUUCCUUGGACCACGGUCCGGGGACUCAAA